CAGUAGCCGCGGUAAUACGUAGGGUGCGAGCGUUGUCCGGAAUUACUGGGCGUAAAGAGCUCGUAGGCGGUUUGUCGCGUCGUCUGUGAAAUUCUGCAGCUUAACUGUAGGCGUGCAGGCGAUACGGGCAGACUUGAGUACUACAGGGGAGACUGGAAUUCCUGGUGUAGCGGUGAAAUGCGCAGAUAUCAGGAGGAACACCGGUGGCGAAGGCGGGUCUCUGGGUAGUAACUGACGCUGAGGAGCGAAAGCGUGGGUAGCGAACAGGAUUAGAUACCCCCGUAGUCCCUGUCUCUUAUAU
rnacentral:rRNA from 1 species